rnacentral:rRNA from 1 species
CAGCAGCCGCGGGAAUACCGAGGGUGCGAGCGUUAAUCGGAUUUACUGGGCGUAAAGCGUGCGUAGGCGGCUUCUUAAGUCGGAUGUGAAAUCCCUGAGCUUAACUUAGGAAUUGCAUUCGAUACUGGGAAGCUAGAGUAUGGGAGAGGAUGGUAGAAUUCCAGGUGUAGCGGUGAAAUGCGUAGAGAUCUGGAGGAAUACCGAUGGCGAAGGCAGCCAUCUGGCCUAAUACUGACGCUGAGGUACGAAAGCAUGGGGAGCAAACAGGAUUAGAUACCCGAGUAGUCCCUGUCUCUUAUAC